rnacentral:misc_RNA from 1 species
ACACCUGUUCCCCUUAUCCAUCCGUCCUUGCGUCGGCAUAGUACGGGGGCUAACAAAUAUAUAUAUACUAUAUGGAAUAUUUACUUCAGUAUCAGUGCGUACAUGUCUCGGUGUAUACGUGGGUUAUAUUUGAACGUUAACGUGUAUUCGCUGGAGUAUGAAUCAGAUAUGAAUAUCUGAUAUGAAAUCAAAUGAUUUUAAAAUAAGUGCACUUACGAAAUCACUCAUGCGUAAUAUGUUUUUUAAAAAAUGUUUUAUUGAACUAAUACAUUUUACAAAAUAAACCCCUUUUGAUAUUUACGAAAUAUAAUGCAAAUUUGGUUUAAAGCUUUAAAAUUUUAUACAAUUGUUGAUAUAUUUAGAUGUUCGUUGUACAGUUCUUCAAAUGUGCUUCCUUUACGUGCCUUGUUCAAGACAACCAGACUGACAAGCAACGAAUUCAAACUUUUUUUUUUGUUUAUUCAGAUUUUGAGUUUGUUUAUUACAUAAAACGUUUACAAGAGAAUAUGCUUACACCAAUUUUGUAAAUAUAUUUUGAACUAUUUUUCAUACUGUUUAAAUGUUUACGAUAAAGGAGAUAUGCAAAAUAAAAAGGUUACAUAAAUACGUU